AAAGCGUGCGCAGGCGGUUAUGCAAGACAGAGGUGAAAUCCCCGGGCUCAACCUGGGAACUGCCUUUGUGACUGCAUAGCUAGAGUACGGUAGAGGGGGAUGGAAUUCCGCGUGUAGCAGUGAAAUGCGUAGAUAUGUGGAGGAACACCGAUGGCGAAGGCAGCCCCCUGGGUCAAAACUGACGCUCAUGCACGAAAGCGUGGGGAGCAAACAGGAUUAGAUACCCUGGU
rnacentral:rRNA from 1 species